GACAGAGGGUGCAAACGUUGUUCGGAAUUACUGGGCGUAAAGCGCGUGUAGGCGGCCCUGCAAGUCGGGUGUGAAAUCCCACGGCUCAACCGGUGGAAGUGCACUCGAAACUGCAGGGCUAGAGUCCUGGAGAGGGAAGGUGGAAUGCUUGGUGUAGAGGUGAAAUUCGUAGAUAUCAAGCGGAACACCGGUGGCGAAGGCGGCCUUCUGGG
rnacentral:rRNA from 1 species